GGCGGAGUCUACAACCCCAGGCGCCGGAAAGCCGCCGCCCAUCCAGGGGCAAAGAUGCUUGCAUUCUGCAAACGGCUCUUCGAAGCCUGGUGCUUGAAGGGCUGUACAGUACACAGGAGAAGCCAUGACCUCCAGGGACUGUUUUCAGAGCAAUUAAGUAGCACUCAUAUGAGAUCAAGAUCCAGCCCUGUGAACUAUGUCUCCUUGGAGUGUGUCUUUUCCUUUUGAGGUAUUGCAUCGUGUAGACUCCCAUCAUCCUCUGCAGGCACAGGCUGGUUAGGGAGAUACUCCACUCAACAUGCUGCUGCUUAGAACAGACUCCCUCUGUUUGCCACUGAAGCUGCCUGCAUUUGUGUUUCUUUCCUGGAGGCCAAGAAAGCCCACUGCUGGGUCACAGAACCUCUUUUGGUUUUUGUUCUGUGUGCUUCUGUAUUGUUGGAAUCCUGCUACUUUUGUGAUUACGGGAAAAAAUUUCAUAAAAAAAUAGAAAGAGGUAGGUAGAGUGUUGGCUCCUAAAAAGUGAGGGUGCCUGAUGGUUGUCAGAUGAUCGUUAUGUAACCUGCUAAUCAUUAUGUAAUGAAGUCUGGGUACCAAG